rnacentral:rRNA from 1 species
AAACGUGUGCUAAUACCGUAUACGCCCUGAGAGGGGGAAAGAUUUAUUGGAGAGAGAUGAGCCCGCGUUAGAUUAGCUAGUUGGUGGGGUAAAUGCCUACCAAGGCUACGAUCUAUAGCUGGUCUGAGAGGACGAUCAGCCACACUGGGACUGAGACACGGCCCAGACUCCUACGGGAGGCAGCAGUGGGGAAUAUUGGACAAUGGGGGCAACCCUGAUCCAGCCAUGCCGCGUGAGUGAAGAAGGCCUUAGGGUUGUAAAGCUCUUUCGCCGGAGAAGAUAAUGACGGUAUCCGGAGAAGAAGUCCCGGCUAACUUCGUGCCAGCAGCCGCGGUAAUACGAAGGGGGCGAGCGUUGUUCGGAAUAACUGGGCGUAAAGGGCGCGUAGGCGGGUAAUUAAGUUAGGGGUGAAAUCCCAAGGCUCAACCUUGGAACUGCCUUUAAUACUGGUUAUCUAGAGUUUAGGAGAGGUGAGUGGAAUUCCGAGUGUAGAGGUGAAAUUCGCAGAUAUUCGGAGGAACACCAGUGGCGAAGGCGG